rnacentral:rRNA from 1 species
GAUGAACGCUGGCGGCGUGCCUAAUACAUGCAAGUCGAGCGAACAGUCGAGGAGCUUCCUCCUCAAACAUGAGGGGCGGGCGGGUGAGGCACACGUGAAUAACCUACAUAAAAGGGUGAGAAGAGUGAGAGACAUGAGAGCAAAUGCUAAAUAAUAGAAUCAACCGGGUGGUUCAAUAAAAAGAGACGGUUUUGCUGACCCUUACAGAUGAAUCCGCGCCGCAUUAGCUAGUUGGUAAGGUAACGGCUUACAGAGGCAACGAUGCGUAGCCGACCUGAGAGGGUGAGGUGCCACACUGGAACUGAGACACGGCCCAGACUCCUACGGGAGGCGGCAGUUGGGACUCCUCCGGAAUGGGGUAAAGCAUAACGGAGCAUCGCCGCGUGAGUGAUGAAGGUCUUCGGUUCGUAAGACUCUGUUUUUCGGGAAGAACAGUUGUGUAAGUAGCGAUGCACUUCUUGACGGUACCUAAUCAGAAAGCCACGGCUAACUACGUG